UACAGAGACUGCAAGCGUUAUUCGGAUUCACUGGGCGUAAAGGGUGCGCAGGCGGCCAAGUGUGUGAGGCGUGAAAGCCCGGGGCUUAACCCCGGAAUUGCACCUCAAACUACUUGGCUAGAGCAUUGGAGAGGGUAGCAGAAUUCAUGGUGUAGCAGUGAAAUGCGUAGAUAUCAUGAGGAAUACCAGAGGCGAAGGCGGCUACCUGGACAAUUGCUGACGCUCAGGCACGAAAGCGUGGGGAGCAAACAGG
rnacentral:rRNA from 1 species